rnacentral:rRNA from 1 species
UACGUAGGGUGCAAGCGUUGUCCGGAAUUAUUGGGCGUAAAGAGCUCGUAGGCGGUUUGUUGCGUCGGCUGUGAAAUCCCGAGGCUCAACCUCGGGUCUGCAGUCGAUACGAGCAAACUAGAGUGUUGCAGGGGAGACUGGAAUUCCUGGUGUAGCGGUGAAAUGCGCAAAUAUCAGGAGGAACACCGGUGGCGAAGGCGGGUCUCUGGGCAACAACUGACGCUGAGGAGCGAAAGCGUGGGGAGCGAACAGG